UACGUAGGGUGCGAGCGUUGUCCGGAAUUAUUGGGCGUAAAGAGCUCGUAGGCGGUUUGUCGCGUCGACUGUGAAAACCCGAGGCUUAACCUCGGGCCUGCAGUCGAUACGGGCAGACUAGAGUUCGGUAGGGGAGACUGGAAUUCCUGGUGUAGCGGUGAAAUGCGCAGAUAUCAGGAGGAACACCGGUGGCGAAGGCGGGUCUCUAGGCCGAUACUGACGCUGAGGAGCGAAAGCGUGGGGAGCGAACAGG
rnacentral:rRNA from 1 species